CGCGGCCUAUCAGCUUGUUGGUGGGGUAACGGCCUACCAAGGCAACGACGGGUAGCUGGCGUGAGAGCGUGGCCAGCCACACUGGGACUGAGAUACGGCCCAGACUCCUACGGGAGGCAGCAGUGGGGAAUCUUGCACAAUGGGCGAAAGCCUGAUGCAGCGACGCCGCGUGAGGGAUGAAGGCCCUAGGGUUGUAAACCUCUUUCAGCAGGGACGAAGCGAAAGUGACGGUACCUGCAGAAGAAGCACCGGCUAACUACGUGCCAGCAGCCGCGGUAAUACGUAGGGUGCGAGCGUUGUCCGGAAUUAUUGGGCGUAAAGAGCUCGUAGGCGGCUUGUCGCGUCGGAUGUGAAAGCCCGGGGCUUAACCCCGGGUCUGCAUUCGAUACGGGCAGGCUAGAGUUCGGUAGGGGAGAUCGGAAUUCCUGGUGUAGCGGUGAAAUGCGCAGAUAUCAGGAGGAGCACCGGUGGCGAAGGCGGGUCUCUGGGCCUGACCUGACGCUGAGGAGCGAAAGCGUGGGUAGCGAACAGGAUUAGAUACCCUGGUAGUCCAUGCUGUACACGUUGGGCGCUAGGUGUGGGGACUUUCCACGGUUUCCGUGCCGUAGCUCACCCAUUAAGUGCCCCGCCUGGGGAGUACGG
rnacentral:rRNA from 1 species